GGCCUAGUAGCUCGGUUGGCAGAGCGUGUGCUGUACAAACGCGCAGGCGGUGUCUGUGCGUGGGUUCGAAUCCCAUCGAGUCCA
rnacentral:tRNA from 1 species